rnacentral:rRNA from 1 species
AUACGGAGGGGGUUAGCGUUGUUCGGAAUUACGGGGCGUAAAGCGCACGUAGGCGGAUUAAAAAGUUAGAGGUGAAAUCCCAGGGCUUAACCCUGGAACUGCCUUUAAAACUAGUAGUCUAGAGUUCGAGAGAGGUGAGUGGAAUUCCAAGUGUAGAGGUGAAAUUCGUAGAUAUUUGGAGGAACACCAGUGGCGAAGGCGGCUCACUGGCUCGAUACUGACGCUGAGGUGCGAAAGCGUGGGGAGCAAACAGGAUUAGAAACCCGGGUAGUCC